CGAUGGCAGAGAGGUCACACCCGUUCCCAUACCGAACACGGAAGUUAAGCUCUCUAGCGCCGAUGGUAGUUGGGACCUUGUCCCUGUGAGAGUAGGACGUCGC
rnacentral:rRNA from 1 species